rnacentral:rRNA from 1 species
AUGCCGGAGAGAAGUUUACUGGACGGGACGGGAUUGAUAUCUACCACGCACGUCCAAUGCCCGUCCCUCCGUCUGCCACUAUUAAACAGGCUCGCCGGCCGAGAUACCAACUCUGACGCCCGCGCAUUGACGCACCCGGAUGCUUGGCCUCGCCGGCAUCCACUAUUUAAAGGCAACCACACCCGACUCACACCACACCACAACCCAUCUGUUCCACAUCUUUCUCCUGUGCACCACAUCUAUCAUGACCGCGAGCGGAAACACUGUGUGGGAGAGCCUCUCGAUGGAGCAGAAGCACAAGGUGACCGCCCUUGCGGCCACGUGGCAGAGCCACGAUGCCAGGCGAGUAGAGACUGGCUCCGACGACGACUCUGUGUCACAGCCCACGCCGGUGCAUGCCAGAUUGACGAUGGAGUAGGCACAGGCGCACUUCAAUGCCGCCAUGGCAGAGGAGUAGCUGUGCCCACGCCUAUGUCGUUGUUCCGGUAG